rnacentral:rRNA from 1 species
UGGGGAAUAUUGGACAAUGGGCGGAAGCCUGAUCCAGCCAUGCCGCGUGUGUGAAGAAGGCCUUUUGGUUGUAAAGCACUUUAAGCGAGGAGGAGGCUACUUGGAUUAAUACUCUAGGAUAGUGGACGUUACUCGCAGAAUAAGCACCGGCUAACUCUGUGCCAGCAGCCGCGGUAAUACAGAGGGUGCGAGCAUUAAUCGGAUUUACUGGGCGUAAAGCGUGCGUAGGCGGCUUCUUAAGUCGGAUGUGAAAUCCCUGAGCUUAACUUAGGAAUUGCAUUCGAUACUGGGAAGCUAGAGUAUGGGAGAGGAUGGUAGAAUUCCAGGUGUAGCGGUGAAAUGCGUAGAGAUCUGGAGGAAUACCGAUGGCGAAGGCAGCCAUCUGGCCUAAUACUGACGCUGAGGUACGAAAGCAUGGGGAGCAAACAGG